GACGGAGGAUGCAAGCGUUAUCCGGAAUCACUGGGCGUAAAGCGUUUGUAGGUGGUUUAAUAAGUCAACUGUUAAAUCUUGAGGCUCAACCUCAAAAUCGCAGUCGAAACUAUUAGGCUAGAGUAUAGUAGGGGUAAAGGGAAUUUCCAGUGGAGCGGUGAAAUGCGUAGAGAUUGGAAAGAACACCGAUGGCGAAGGCACUUUACUGGGCUAUUACUAACACUCAGAGACGAAAGCUAGGGUAGCAAAUGGG
rnacentral:rRNA from 1 species